rnacentral:rRNA from 1 species
GACGAACGCUGGCGGCGUGCUUAACACAUGCAAGUCGAACGGAGAGGCCCCCACUUUUUUGGUGGGGGUGCUCGAGUGGCGAACGGGUGAGUAACACGUGGGUGAUCUGCCCUGUACUUCGGGAUAAGCUUGGGAAACUGGGUCUAAUACCGGAUAGGACCAUGGUUUAGUGUCUCAUGGUGGAAAAAUUAUUGUUUUGGUGCAGGAUGAGCUCGCGGCCUAUCAGCUUGUUGGUGGGGUAAUGGCCUACCCAGGCGUCGACGGGUGGCCGGCCUGAGAGGGUGGACGGCCAGAUUGGGAGUGAGAGACGGCCCAGACUCCUACGGGAGGCAGCGGUGGGGAAUAUUGCACAAUGGGCGCAAGACUGAUGCAGCGACGCCGCGUGGGGGAUGACGGCCUUCGGGUUGUAAACUCCUUUCGUUAGGGACGAAGCCGCACCUUUUUUGGGUGUGGUGACGGUACCUUUGUGAAGAAGCACCGGCUAACUACGUG